ensembl:lncRNA
GUAAAUAAUGUAUUUAGCAUGAAGCAUGAAUUAUUUUCAUAUAAAUAUAGAUCCUAGAGAACAAAAAGGCACCGCCUCUACUCUAAUUUCUAUGCCCAUAGGCCUACAGUCACUUUUCUUUUUGGGUUUUUUUUUGUUUGUUUGUUUGUUUGUUUUAUGUUUUGUUUCGUUUAAUUUUUUAUUUUUUUUUGUCUUGAUUUGUCUCAUCGUUCAAAAGCAGGCAUUUUACAGAAUAACCUUCUUCAGGGACAAACGCUGACUGUUGGGCAACACUCUGUGCAAUAUGGGGACUUCACCUUCUUUCCACGUGUAGGGCUGUCAGCCCCCUCUCCACUCUCUCCAUCAGAUCAGCUCCGGUGUGUGCGUGUGCACGUGCGCGUGUGCAUGUGUGUGUGUGUGUGUGCGUCCGAGCGUUCGGCCUUGAUGCUUAGCACUCAGCUCUGUAAGGACAAGUUGGUAGUGAGUGUCUGUUCCUUUUCUUCCUUUUUUUUCGGGGGGGGGGGUCUUCCAUUUACACAGCACAGGUAAUACACACGCUCACACACUCUUCCCUCUGCAUAGCACUGUUCAGUAUUAAAUAUCUACACACACACACACACAAUAAUCCCACUGCACAUUGUACUCGAUUCCAUCCGAUUGCACUUAGCUUUUAAUACUCAUUUUUAAAGUUCAGUGCCAAAGCCGGUAAGUUUAUACACAGCAACGUGGCCAACACACACACACACACACACACACACACACACACUCUUUGAUAAUACUACGUGAGAAACUUGUAGCAUUUCUGUCAUGUAUAAUAUAAUAUUACAUGGAAAUCAUAUCCAUCGCUAUCACGUUACACAUUAUUGGCUGUAAAUUGCUCCUCCAGGUGUUUUUAUGUCCUCCAUAUCAUACACACUUUACCCUUAAUCAUCAUCAUCAUCAUCAUCAUCAUCAUCAUAGUGAAUCCGAAUGUUUAUGAUGUCGACCUUGAUCAUCUGUGACGUGUCCUGUUAGCAUGCCUGUUCUGAUCACGCACGUAUACGGACUUCAUCUGUGCAUCCUCGGCAUCAUCGGCCUCAUCAUCAUUGCUCCCGGGAACCGAAUUCUCCAUCCUCACACUGCAGGAACAAAAAAAAAAAAAAAAAAAAGACAAAAAAACGGAGGACAACCAGCAUCUGAAAAGCCCGUGAGAGGAUGAAGAGGCGAGUGGAGGCGCAUCAGAAAAUACUCAACCCAAGCCAGGCAAAUAACAGUCAAUAACAGUCUUCUCCUUGUGUUUGUCAUUGUUCGUUUUAUUAUUAUUAUUAUUAUUAUUAUUAUUAUUAUUAUUAUUAUUAUUAAAAGCUUCACAUUGUUAGUUGCCAUUAAAAAUGUUUUGCAGUGUUUUCUUUCUUUUUUUUUGUUUGUUUGUUUGUUUUUGGGUUUUUUUGUUGUUUUUUUUUUCUUUCCGGAGCGAGUAGAAUCGAGUCUUAUUUGGUUCGUUCUGAAUUUUCAAGGUCUGAUGGCAUGUGCACCCUGAUAAAGUGUCGAUAUGGAGGCGUUCUUGCACUCUGUAUUUCCUCGUUGUGUAAUCAUAUUGCCAAAGACAAUUUCAUCAAUAUGUAAAUAUCACUUUGUCCAUUACUAUGGGAAAAGAAGAAGAAGAAAAAAAAAAAGAUUCCUUUUUAUUUCGAUUUUGUUUUGCGUUCGUUCGUUAUUCCGACCUGCCAUCACGUUUCUGUGCUGUAUUGUCUUCCAGUUGCAAUAAAGAAAAAAAAAGAGUUGCAAAGGCGAACUUCUUGGACUUGUGUGAUUCUAAAAUAAACGCUCCGGUAUUGACGGUCUUUAAAUUUCAAGUAGCUGUUUGAAAUAAUUGUGGGGUUUUUUUUUAUGAAACAGGCAGAGCUGAAAAUCUCUUUGGAAAUCUGUGCUAGUUCUAAACCGUGUUAUUACGUCAUAAAAUAUAACAGCCAAUCAGGUUCCAGUAUACAGUAUCCAACACUGCUUUAGAUACGAAAGCAUUCAGAUAUCGUCGAU